GCAAUUCAGAAACUGGAAAGAAUCAUUGAGGAGGCAUCGUAUGUACCGCCAGAAACUACACUAGAGAAGAAGACUCAUGUGCAGAAAUUAGUUAGAGUGGGUCAUCAAAAGCGCCUUCUUGCCAAGAAGUACCUAUCAAACAAGAAAAGGGAUAGGAAGCAGGAAUGAGUCAAACGUGGACAGCACGGAAAGUCAACGAUCAGGAUAAAGAAAGAAACGAAUAAUUAUCACAGUCGUGCCUGAACGAGUUGCCAAGGAAAAGCUUUUAUACGAACAUGACAACUCACAGGGGCCACUGAAAACUCUUAAUUUUUAUGUACUGAGAUUUCUUUGAACAGACCGGCAUGAAAUCCCCUUAGAAGCUCUUAGACCAGCCAUCGGAGCAGUUUUCUGGGGCGUGUCUGAAAAACCUAAACGAAAAAAAUCCUAUCAGGCCAUUCGGCCGAUCACGACAGACCACCAAUCAUAACUUGACGUGAAAAACAAGCCACCAGUGCCAAGCGCAGGAAACCGCGAGUUCUGAUUGGAUUUGGGUUUGCUUCUGUGAUUGGCUAAAAAGAGCAGCAUGUUUCACCUGAUUAACUGAAGCAUGCUACGUGAGUUAAAAAACACUAAUCAAGCAAUCAAGUAAAUAUAAAACUUCUAUAGACUAUUGCCAAAUAAACCAAAACUUUUCUCACUCGAGUCAGA